AUGGAACUUACAUGAUUCCUUGUUUCUCUGUCUGUUUAACUGUUUGAGCUUCAAGGCUGCACUUCACACUUUCAUGGACAACAGGAAGGUUUUUAUUACCAUCACUGAAAGUUGAGCCUCAUCUGCACAGUAACAUCAGAGGGACUGACUGCUAUACCUUCAUGAUAAGUCACAAGAAUCUCACUGCCUUCCAGGAGGCAUAUGACCACUUCCAUCUGGUGGCUCAAACUAUUUUCUAGGUUGGAUGGAUUGAAGAACAUCUGUCUGAGAUUGGG